UUUUUUCUUUAUUUAGCCAUAUUUGAUAAGUUUGACAAGGUUAACAAUUUCUACACCCAAAGUGAGACACAGGUUACAGAGAACUGCAGGCACCAAAUUGUCUAUCAAAUGUGAUUAAUUCAAAUAAAAGGUGCCUCUUUAAUACACGUCAUUGAAAAUGUGCUUAUAAUUUGUAUACUACUAAACACUAUCCAAAAGACACAGCCCAGAAAAGGGUAAAAAAGAAUUUCCCUCUGUGACUCCAGCAGGAACCUGGCGCUGGGAUGAAGGAGCUGCUUCCCUGCACCCCCAGGGCCGCUUCCAGGAACAGAAGCGAGUGUCAGACUAGGGAUGCGGUUGGGAUAGCAGUUAUACGUGGCUAAAGAAGGUGAGCUCAUCCCAAAGCUGACCAGCAACGCACCAUAAAACCCUUCGGAGGGCUGGCAGCCUCCUUCCCACGGAGCUCACACACUCUCCGAGCACAGGGAUGCUCCUGAGCCUCCUCCCUUGACGGCAUUUCCCACCAGCGUGAGGUACCCAGCAAACCUCUGCCCCCAGGUCACCAGAUGGGGGUCCCAGGCUCCACCCCCCCAGGGCAGCCACACGAGGGGCCAUUCCACGUGCCCCACACCGUGCGUGAUGGGCAGAGUGCAAAGUGCUUCGGGAGCCAAAUGUGCAUUUGAAAGAAAAGAGGUGACCAUGUACAAGCGGCUGCUUCAGAACAGCCUCGAGCCUUCACUGCUCUAAGGAUCAAUGCACAAAGCCAAGGUGAUGUUGACAUCUAGGACUUGGAAGAUCCAUCUCUGGAGUGUUCCCUAGUACCAUGUCACAUCCUUACAUCUGGACAACGUGAUACACAUGGACAGGAAUUCCUGUGCAUGAAAGGGCUACGAAACAAGUCUGCAGUAAAGCAAGGAGAGAAGAAUGAUGUUGCUUUUCCCCAGAUCACUGCAAUAACCUACAUUCACUUUUAGGAAGAUUUACUCUACAUCACCGAUGGCGCCAUGACUUUACCAGCAAGGAGGCUUGGUUCUACACAAUGAACAUCGUUGCUUUCUGGACCCACACUCUUCAGCCCUCUCCUGUGCAAGGCAGUGCAUACACCCCUGGAAAUGCGUGAUACCAAAAGCAGGGAUGCGGAGGGGCAGCACAAGCUGCUUUCCAAACUGCUUCAUUACAGGACUGACACAGCCACAGAACAGGUCCUGCACCAGCACGCUCUGCUCUGCUUUUAACAUCAGCUGCUGGAACCCAGGACCUCUAUUCCCAUUUUGUCCACACGGGAGCUCUACUGACCGUUCUCAUGCCCCAGCUGCAAACAAACUGAACUGGUGUUCAGCUAAAACUCUUGGUUUGGACACGGCUUCAGAUUUCCUCCAGCCCAGGCACGCAGCACAGGAGCAAAACCACCUCAAAAACCAUACACCAGGUUCCACUUCAAACUUCUUCAGUGAACGAUGGCAGGAAAAGAAAAUGUCAUUUGAUAAGAAUAACCUUUCACAAGCGUCCCAUGGCAAAACGCACAGAAAACUGGGCUCUGUCUAGGAAAAGACAAACCCGAGCUUGCACCAGCUACCAGAAUUACAUUCUCGCUACAAGAGUUGUUAGAAGAGAAAAGCCAACAUAGAGCACGACCUUAAUACAGAUAAAACCUUAAACAAAUACUCCAACAUCAACAUUUCAGGUAGUAAUUUAAGUACUACAACGUGAAGCAAGUCUUAUCUGCUCUGCUGGAUAUAACAAAAAAUAAUCCAAGAAUAAUCCAAGUCAUACAUUUAAGAAGCAAGUAAUGCAAUCUUGUUGCUGCAAUGAGACUGAAACAAUGCCCGGGAGAAGAAACGCAUCACGAGAUGGUCAUGUUCAGGUUUAAAAACAGAGUCCAGGGCCCAGAGCCCAGCACACUGGUAAAACACGCGGGCUGCUGGUGCGGCUGCUGGGCUGCAGGAAGGUAAGCGCUGCAGAAGGGCACAGGGACAGAGCGAGGGCUGCACCGCGGCACGCUGUCACACACACGCUGCCUGUUCUCUGGGGUGCCAGCUCCCCCAAAACGCCCCCUGCAAAGCCUGCUGCGGAUGGGUGGUGAGCUGAGGGUAAGAGGUGAUCACGGAGCAGCAAGGUGCCCAGCAGCCCUGGGGGCAAGGCUUCUUGGGGGUCACCAGCACAUCAGCUCAAGGGAGGAGGUGGCACAGACUAGCUCAGAGUCACUACCUGGUUGAGGGCUGUUUGUUACACCGAGAGAAGAGAUGCACAAAUAGAUCUGUCCACCAGCGAAGCCUGGGGAAGCUCUGCCACAGCAGACUGGAUGAGAGGCAGAGCCCUCACUCGGAAGACAAGCGUGCCCAGCACACUGCCCAUCGUGACCUACACAGGAUUGCUGCUGAACAUAAAGGAGAGGCAGCACUUUGAUAAACAAAAUAAAUACACUACACAUAUAAAAGGAGUUGAGGAAUCCACCUUUUUAGAGGAAUCGUAAAGAACUUGAGGAAUCUCCCCUGUAAGAAGGGCAUGUAAACAAAGACGUCACUAGAUGCAGUGUUCGAACCCUGAUAGACUUAUCCACAGGAGGCUGGAGAGUGGUUCCAAGGGACAUG
rnacentral:lncRNA from 1 species